rnacentral:siRNA from 1 species
GAGGUGGACAUCUUGAGAGGCCU